GGCCGGGCGGAGAGCUGGGCCCUCGGCCCGGAGUCCCGCGCACCGGGCUGGGGGCCAGACCGCUGGCGUAAAGCUCGUGGACUCAGGGCGGUUUGGCGAAGGUCCAGAGCGUUUAAAGCCAAACGCGGGAAGCCCAAGGCCCUGGCCCUGCCGCUCGUCCGUUCUCCCCCGGGCCUCCCCUGGAAACCCACACGUCGCGCUUCCCCCGUGCUUCCGAGGGCCGCGCCGGCUCCCCCAGGGCGGGGGCCAUCAGAACGCGUCUCCUCCGAGCGGCCAGUCCGCUCCUAAAGCCACUUUCUAGGGUUUCGACGGGCGGUUGGAUCUGUGAAGCCCAGCAGGGGGUCGGACAGCUUCACGUCUUGCCACGCCCGCGGCGCUGGGGCUCCGGCUCGGAGCGGCUGAGCCACCUUACUCCUGCCACAUCCCCAGGGCACUGCUGCGUCUGAGCGCGACCACGGAUAGAAGUAUCCCUCUCUUGAUGCUGUCUGUGGAUGCGUUGGUUUGGACAGUGGGGACAAAGAGGCUGGAGUCCAGGCAACGCUACUGUGAACCCAACCAAGGCACAGCUGCAAACCCCAAGCGGGAGCACCAGGAGUAGGCUGGGUGGCAGAGGCCGGCACCCGACUGCCCCCCGCCCGCCACUGGGUUACGGUGCCUUGUGGCCUGAGAGGCUAAAAGACAAAAGGAAACCAACUAUGCAGAUGCCAGAAGGUCAUGGGUGAGGCGAAUACAGGUUGAAGAGAAAAGGACACCAGCUCCGUGGAUAGACAGAGCCGGCAGAGGAGGAACGGGGGCUGCGAGUCUGAGGCUAGUGCCCUCCCGCCCCCCUGCAGCCUCACAGCCCAUCCGAGGAGCCAAGGACACAGCCCAGAGUGCCACGGGGUGGCUGCCAGGAGCAGCCGGUCCCCACUGCUUCUUGGUGGUGGCUGCACGUGAGCUGGAGAGAGCGGCUGCUCUGCAUCUCCUGCCCUGCAGGACAGACCCUCUGCUGCAGCCAGACCCACGCCAGGUGACCCACCUCCUGGAGGCGCCAGGCACGGCCCCCGCCAUGGUGAACACACCCACCAAGGGUGAGGGAGGGUCACACAGGCUUGCCUCUCGCCCCCAGGACAGAGACACGGAGUCCCCAAGCAGCUCGUGUCUGGGCCAGCCUCCCACGGAUGCAUGUCAUGCAGCUUGGAGCUACGACUCUUGUUAAGGCAAAGAGGCAGCAGGGCGCCCACAGCUCCCUGGGGAAGGGUCGGACCUGAGCCCAGCCAGAGGGAACCAGGGACCCCGGAGCAUGUGCAGGGCCUGACUGCAGCCUUGUCCUGGGAUGGCCUGGACCCACACCUCAGCCCGGCACCCACCUUCCGGUGUGCUGGUGGCGGUCCCACGCGGCCCUCGCAACAAGCUCCUACUCCCUCACCUGGCCUCCCGGCCAAGUCGCCGUGCCAGAGGCCAGGGCCCCAGAGCUUCUGGUCCUGCCUGGGCACCCAGCUCACCCCCUGCAGGCCUGAUCAGUGGCACCGGCCGCCCGGGGGUGGGGUGGGGGGGGGCCCUACUCGACCACCCAGUCCGCAGCUGGCACCAUCGUGCGGCUUGGCAGGAGAGUCUCAGGCACUGAGGUUUACUUGCGAGGAGUCCUGACGGUGGGUCCCGGGCCACUCAUGCUCCCCGCGCCCCCACAGGGACGCACUGAAGGAGGACUAGGGCAGAAACUAGUCUCUCCCACUCCCUGUUUAUGGAGUUUUUAUCUUAAGAAAAAUAAAUACGUCUUCUGGGCAGGAA